rnacentral:lncRNA from 1 species
GAAAGGGUAUAUGGACUUGGUACAUAGGACAAAUCCUACCGUAGGCAUUACCUCAAUUGAACGGGGCUAAGAAGUAAUAUACCGUAAGGAUUGGGAAGUAUUUGUUCACCAUCAUACCUAAUAGAGUAUUGAGGUGGUAGUAUAUUUGACGCCCAUUACCGGAUGGGGUAUGUGACAUCCCAGAUGCUAAUUAAGGUAAAUGAGUGUCAGAUACAAAUUCAGAAUAACGAGUGUAUGAUAAAACUUUAUGCAGUAGAACAAUUAAUACA